rnacentral:rRNA from 1 species
AUUGAAUGCUGGCGGCAUGCCUUACACAUGCAGGUCGAACGGUAACAGGUCUUCGGAUGCUGACGAGUGGCGAACGGGUGAGUAAUACAUCGGAACGUGCCUAGUAGUGGGGGAUAACUACUCGAAAGAGUGGCUAAUACCGCAUGAGAUCUACGGAUGAAGACAGAGGAUCGCAAGACCUUGUGCUACUAGAGCGGCCGAUGGCAGAUUAGGUAGUUGGUGGGAUAAAAGCUUACCAAGCCGACGAUCUGUAGCUGGUCUGAGAGGACGACAGGCCACACUGGAACUUAGACACGACAGAGACUCCUACGUGAGGCAGCAGUGUGGAAGUGAUCGCAAUGGGCGCAAGCCUGACGACACAAAACCGUGUGUAGCAUGAAGAUGUUCGGGUCUUAAAGUCCGUUCGAUCGAGACGAACGGCCUCCGGGUGAACAUUCCGUAGGGGUGACGGUACCGGGAGAAGAAGCCCCGGCUAACUCCGUGCCAGCCGCCGCAGUAAAAC